CGCAAGCCUGAUGCAGCAACGCCGUGUGAGUGAAGAAGGUUUUCGGAUCGUAAAACUCUGUCCUAAGGGAGAAAAAAUGACGGUACCUUAGGAGGAAGCCCCGGCUAACUACGUGCCAGCAGCCGCGGUAAUACGUAGGGGGCAAGCGUUAUCCGGAAUCACUGGGCGUAAAGGGUGCGUAGGCGGCUUAGCAAGCCAGGGGUGAAAGGCAUUGGCUCAACCAAUGUAAGCCUUUGGAACUGUUAAGCUUGAGUGCAGGAGAGGUAAGUGGAAUUCCUAGUGUAGAGGUGAAAUUCGUAGAUAUUAGGAGGAACACCAGUGGCGAAGGCGACUUACUGGACUGUAACUGACGCUGAGGCACGAAAGCGUGGGGAGCGAACAGGAUUAGAUACCCUGGUAG
rnacentral:rRNA from 1 species